UUAGAGUUUGAUCAUGGCUCAGAACGUACGCUGGCGGCACGCCUAACACAUGCAAGUCGAACGAAGUAGCAAUACUUAGUGGCAGACGGGUGAGUAACAUGUAGGUAUCUACCCUUUGGCCUGGAAUAACACGAGGAAACUUGUGCUAAUACCGGAUAAGUCUUUACGGAGAAAGCUUUAUGCACCAUUGGAUGAGCCUGCACUUGAUUAGUUUGUUGGUGGGGUAAUGGCCUACCAAGACUUUGAUCAAUAGCUGAUUUGGGAGGAUGAUCAGCCACAUUGGGACUGAGACACGGCCCAAACUCCUACGGGAGGCAGCAGUGGGGAAUCUUGCACAAUGGAGGAAACUCUGAUGCAGCGAUGCCGCGUGAGUGAAGAAGGCCUUUGGGUUGUAAAGCUCUUUCGUCGGGGAAGAAAAUGACUGUACCCGAAUAAGAAGGUCCGGCUAACUUCGUGCCAGCAGCCGCGGUAAUACGAAGGGACCUAGCGUAGUUCGGAAUUACUGGGCUUAAAGAGUUCGUAGGUGGUUGAAAAAGUUGGUGGUGAAAUCCCAGAGCUUAACUCUGGAACUGCCAUCAAAACUUUUCAGCUAGAGUUUGAUAGAGGAAAGCAGAAUUUCUAGUGUAGAGGUGAAAUUCGUAGAUAUUAGAAAGAAUACCAAUUGCGAAGGCAGCUUUCUGGAUCAUUACUGACACUGAGGAACGAAAGCAUGGGUAGCGAAGAGGAUUAGAUACCCUCGUAGUCCAUGCCGUAAACGAUGUGUGUUAGACGUUGGAAAUUUAUUUUCAGUGUCGCAGCGAAAGCGAUAAACACACCGCCUGGGGAGUACGACCGCAAGGUUAAAACUCAAAUGAAUUGACGGGGACCCGCACAAGUAGUGGAGCAUGUGGUUUAAUUCGAAGAUACGCGCAGAACCUUACCAACACUUGACAUGUUCGUCGCGACUUUAAGAGAUUAAAGUUUUCGGUUCGGCCGGACGAAACACAGGUGCUGCAUGGCUGUCGUCAGCUCGUGUCGUGAGAUGUUGGGUUAAGUCCCGCAACGAGCGCAACCCUCACUUUUAGUUGCCAUCAUUUAGUUGGGCACUCUGAAAGAACUGCCAGUGAUAAGCUGGAGGAAGGUGGGGAUGACGUCAAGUCCUCAUGGCCCUUACGUGUUGGGCUACACACGUGCUACAAUGGUAUUUACAACAGGAAGCAAGACGGCGACGUUAAGCAAAUCCUUACAAAAUACCUCAGUUCGGAUUGCACUCUGCAACUCGAGUGCAUGAAGCUGGAAUUACUAGUAAUCGUGGAUCAGCGUGCCACGGUGAAUGCGUUCCC
rnacentral:rRNA from 1 species